GUAUUUAUUUGAAUUAAGUAUAUUCAUAAUAUGUUAUCAGACGAAUGUUGUUAAAGAUAUAGGUUGAUAUUUGUGAAGGGAAAGAGUUGCCUCUCUCCCAACAAACAUUGCACACAAGGUGGAUAUGGAUUUUUAAAGAGUGCCAUAAAACACUCAUUGUGAAUGAUCCUUCCGCAGGUUCACCUACGGAAA
rnacentral:misc_RNA from 1 species